AUGAGGUAUUUAUCUAAUUUUGCAGGAGAUUUAUCUUCAACUUUUCCUGCUGAUAGAUUUUUAUUUAAUACAGUGAUACCAUGGGACUUUUGCGUGUAUCCUGCAUUUUCUGACAUCACGUUUCUCAUGCAGAAAAAUGUGCUUUCAGCCAAGUAUGUUAUGAAAAUCGACAAUGACGCUUUUGUUCGUGUAGAUGAGAUGCUUUCGUCCCUACAUGAAGUAAAUAUCAGCCAUGUACUGCCGUAUGCUCGUGUCAAUUUUGAUUCUCAGCCUCAUCAAGAUCCGUAUCUCUAUUCCUAA
rnacentral:rRNA from 1 species